UACGAAGGGGGCUAGCGUUGUUCGGAAUCACUGGGCGUAAAGCGCACGUAGGCGGAUUUUUAAGUCAGGGGUGAAAUCCCGAGGCUCAACCUCGGAACUGCCUUUGAUACUGGAGAUCUUGAGUCCGGAAGAGGUAAGUGGAACUGCGAGUGUAGAGGUGAAAUUCGUAGAUAUUCGCAAGAACACCAGUGGCGAAGGCGGCUUACUGGUCCGGAACUGACGCUGAGGUGCGAAAAGCGGUGGGGAGCAAACAGGG
rnacentral:rRNA from 1 species